AGGAUUUCUUCUCAUCUAGUGGCGGACGGGUGAGUAACGUGUGGGCAACCCUGCCCUGCACUGGUAGGAAUAAUCACUGGAAAUCAUUGCUAAUACCGCAUAAGCUUGUAGUAUCGCAUGAUACAGCAAGAAAAGGAGUAAUCCGCUAAUAGAUGAGCUUGCGGCUGAUUAGCUAGUUGGUGUGGUAACGGCAUACCAAGGCAACGAUCAGUAGCCGGGCUGAGAGGCUCUGCGGCCACAUUGGGACUGAGAUACGGCCCAGACUCCUACGGGAGGCAGCAGUCGGGAAUAUUGCGCAAUGGAGGAAACUCUGACGCAGUGACGCCGCGUAUAGGAAGAAGGUUUUAGGAUUGUAAACUAUUUUAGUCAGGGAAGAAAAAUGACUGUACCUGAAGAAUAAGCUCCGGCUAACUACGUG
rnacentral:rRNA from 1 species